rnacentral:rRNA from 1 species
UGUGAACGUUACCAAUCUGUUGCCUCGGCGGGAUUCUCUGCCCCGGGCGCGUCGCAGCCCCGGAUCCCAUGGCGCCCGCCGGAGGACCAACUCAAACUCUUUUUUCUCUCCGUCGCGGCCUACGUCGCGGCUCUGUUUUAUUUUUGCUCUGAGCCUUUCUCGGCGACCCUAGCGGGCGUCUCGAAAAUGAAUCAAAACUUUCAACAACGGAUCUCUUGGUUCUGGCAUCGAUGAAGAACGCAGCGAAAUGCGAUAAGUAAUGUGAAUUGCAGAAUUCAGUGAAUCAUCGAAUCUUUGAACGCACAUUGCGCCCGCCAGUAUUCUGGCGGGCAUGCCUGUCCGAGCGUCAUUUCAACCCUCGAACCCCUCCGGGGGGUCGGCGUUGGGGAUCGGCCCCUCACCGGGCCGCCCCCGAAAUACAGUGGCGGUCUCGCCGCAGCCUCUCCUGCGCAGUAGUUUGCACACUCGCACCGGGAGCGCGGCGCGGCCACAGCCGUAAAACACCCCAAACUCUGAAAUGUUGACCUCGGAUCAGGUAGGAAUACCCGCUGAACUUAAGCAUAUCAU